CACAGCUAUGCACCAAUCCUCCUGGGUUCAGAGAUGGAACUUGGGUUAAAUGCAUGGAAUUUAUUCUUAGUCCUUUUCUUAAUUACGACUUUUUAUUUCUCUGGUGUUCUCUAGGGGAGGGGUUAGAGAAGAGAGGAAAAGGAAGAAAGAAAGGGGGCAGGGAAAUAUAGAUUCAAUGCUUUUGUUUUGUUUCUGGGCUGCUUGCUAUCAGCAAAGUAGAGAGAUUUAACGGAUCUUGCCGAGAAUGCAAGCCUCAUUCCAAGGAAGCCAGAGCUCAGAAGACAUGGAACAAAUACAAUGAAAACAUAACUUGAGGUCGGAAAAUGUCCCCUGAAUAUUUAUGUCAAUGUCCUACCUUAGUGAAUAUUACUUAAUACUGUGGCUCCUUUAAAGCAUGUAAGUAGCUUGCAUUUAGCACAUUUGUACCAUGAAGAUACUGAGGCUGCCAUCAUGCUCUGUUAUUCUAAGAGAAAGAUCAACAGCAACAACAACAAUAAUAAUUUAAAAAGCAGAGGAAGAAAGUAAUCCAAGAAGACAGACGCAGAGCCUCUAAGAUCAUGAAGGAUGAUUAAAAGAACAAGUUGGGGAUGAAAAUGGGGAAUCAGAAAGCUUAUCAUCAGGUUAGUUUUGGAAGGUCAUCUGUGGCCUGGGCGGUGCCCCAUUAAGACUAGAUCAAAAGCAGGACAGUGAUGCAAUCGGCUGUUUGUAUACAGAUGCUGGCCUCCAAAUCCCCACAUGGGAACAUCUGCUGGGGACAACCACUUAACAAAUAAGCAGGCAAUUAGGUAGCAGAUCCAUCUGUGCCAAGAGCAUGGGACCACCAGCGGCGGGGAGGCUGCAGCAGAGGGGAGAGCCAUGCUGGGAAGAAUGCUUUUGCGUUUGUGCAAGAGUCACACUAUCUAAGGCAGGAGAAAGGAGAGAGGACCAGGUGCAGAAGUCAGGAGAGAAGAUCAUUUUCUGCUUGUUCUGGGGCUAGCUCCAUGAUGCUCAGCCUUGACUAUACAUUAUAAUCACCUGGAGAUUUUAAAUAUACUGAUGCCCAGGUUGUACUUCAAAACAAUCUAAUCAGAGUUUCUAGGAAGGGG
rnacentral:lncRNA from 1 species